GACGAACCGUACGAACGUUAUUCGGAAUUACUGGGCUUAAAGGGUGCGUAGGCUGUGCGGCAAGUUGGGCGUGAAAUACCUCAGCUUAACUGAGGAACUGCGUUCAAAACUACCGUGCUCGAGGGAGACAGAGGUAAGCGGAACUGAGGGUGGAGCGGUGAAAUGCGUUGAUAUCCUCAGGAACACCGGUGGCGAAAGCGGCUUACUGGGUCUCUUCUGACGCUGAUGCACGAAAGCUAGGGUAGCAAACGGG
rnacentral:rRNA from 1 species